UUUUGUUUUGCCAUCUUGUUUCUGGGACUGAUUGGGGUUUACAUCUUCUGAUAAACUCUGUAUGUACCCUGCUUGGUCUUCUCUUGGUUAGUGAUGUUAAGAGCAUACAUCUACAUCCUUCACUGUGUUUUUGAUUUGUUCCAACUAUUGUCAAGAACUGUUUCUUUGAUAGUUUGAAGACUUACUGUUUCAUCUACCAUACUGCUUUAUUGUGGCCAUGUGGACUGUUUGGAGUUCUUGAGACCACCAUUGGUAUUUUUUCUUUUCGUGAAUGUACCAAAUAGUUGAUUUGGCCAAACCUAAUAUUUCUGCUGUCUGUCUGACAAACAUGGCUUUUUGUACACAAACACAGCUCUUCAACACUUUACUUCAGGCCAGUUUCAGUCAUUCUUCAAAUCCUGUGCAGAAUUAAUGAAUGUUUUUUUCUUUUUUUUGUACUUUCAGAAACCACAGAUCACGGAACAAGUAAAUGUGACAUUACCAGCGGCAGUGGCGUCGGCACUACGCAGAAAGAGAAGGUGAAGGGCAAAGACGAGACGUACUGGAGGGAGAUCAACGCUGCCAUGGCCUUGACCAACUUGGCGCAGGGGAAGGACGGUGUGUCUGGGACCACCAGCUGCAUCAUUCAGAAGUCCUCUCAUAUAGCAGAGAUCAAGACUGUCAAAGUGCCUCUGGUGCAGAAAUAUUAACACGUUAUCCUUUCCGCUCUUUCUAUGCAAAACGGCAAACAUUCCUGUUGGGUCCAAACAAACUGUCCCUCAAGAGGCGACUAGAGAGACGACUGUUGUGUUGUUGUGAGAGAAGGUUUUUUAUUAGUGUCUAAAGCUUACAAAUGAGGAUUCACCCACACUUUUCUUUGCUGGGUUUAUGUUUGACAGACAAAUGUUGAUGAUAAUUUCACUGCAGUAUUCGUUAAGACAAGACGCUUUUAUAAUAAGUUAUUUUGAUGAUUUCUUUUUUAUGUUUCUCUUUUUUAUGCUUUUAAAUGCAUACUUUGCCAAAGUGCCUUUGUUCUCCGGACACACAACUCACAGACUGUGGUCAAUGCAAAGUGCACACACUAAGGUGCCUCUUUGGGAUUUAUGAAGGAUUUUUGUAAGGUUAUAUAGAGACUGAAUCAUUCCUGGUGUAUUUUUGUGAGUAAAAACCUCUUGCACACAGCAUGUGCCUUAUGAACUGAAGUAGAAAAACUGCGCUUGCUUUGACUGGAGUCUUCACUUUGUUUUGUCUCAAUCAGACACUUGUAGCCUGCAGGCAACAACAACUGCUCGGUUUGCAGAUAAUUCGAGCCCCACUGACACGUGCGCUAAUGUGAGCGACUCGUCGAUAAGCAGCAGAUGCGCGCAUGUCAGCCUUCAUUUAGCAAUGAAGGAUUCUUCUCUUAUCACGGCUUUCUGUUGGACAAAUGUGCACGCACACUCAGCUGGACCCAGAUGAAGUCACGUUAACCUAUAUAAUGACAUGCAAAUAUGUAGGUCUGCAGGCGUGCUUUCAUUUUCAGUGCAGUAUCUGCUUGAAAAGAACAAUGCCUUGACCUAAAAAGGGAUGUUUUUGCUGUACGUUAUCAGUGUUUUAUGCCUUUUCACGUUGUGCUCUGAACAAGAUAGCUGAGAGUAAAACAAAAAGGAGCCACUGCACACCGCCACCAGCUCCUCCAGCUUUUUGAUCCUCAGCCCUCUCAGCUGUUUAGCAUUACAUUCAAAUUGCUGUUUACAAGAAGCCAGAGGAAAGAAUCAAGUUUUUCUCUCCGCCUUGCUUUUUUGGUCUUGCAAAAAACAUUUCACUAUUAUCUCGUUGUCGGCCAAGCAAGUGUUCAAAGUGUUUGUUAUUGUCAGUUUGUAUAUGUGUGGUCUUUUGGUUUCAUUUAUCAUUAAGCGCUUCUUUUCUCAUCCCGUGGAUAGAAUUGUUUUCAUAGAAGGUACAUAUGUUGGAAACUUUCCCAAACACGAGAGAUCAAUUUGGACAAAUUCUCUGUACCGACAUCUUAAGUAAAGUAUAUCUUUGAGGUACUGUUUUGUAUGUGUCAAAUGAACAAUCUUUUGUAGAUAGUGCAGUAUUUUUGAUAACUUAGAAUAUGUUUACCAUCAAAAAAUUAUUGAAUGAAGUUGCACAAAGGAAUUUCACACAUUUGUCUUGAAUGUGCCAACUGUCAAAGUAGCUGCACUUAAAGUUCUCACUAAGAAAACACACAAAGCUUCCACUAAGGCCUGAGAUGGAAGCAGACAAUGUGUUUUUCCAUAAAGGGAAGGGAAGAAAAAGAAAUGAAGAACAAGACUGUUAUUCCAGUUAGCGUGCCUAUGGAAGUAGUAUAAUGAAAUGAAUGGCACUAGCCAAUCCCCAGGUACUGUUUGCUUUUGCAGUGGGGAGUGUGGGCUUCCACAUGUGUUUUUUAUACACCUGAUGCAGACAGACUAGCUGCGGGGCAGUGCUCAGCCCCUCCGUGUGUUUCUAAUUGCACCUCUGAACUUUUGGACCACUUGCUAACCCUUGCACCUCUCAUGAUACCCAGUUGCUGGGAAGAGACAGCAUCGUCAGAGACAACACAGCCGCCUUUGUUUUUCUUACUUGCAGUCACUCCCCGACACCCCUGUGAGGACUAACAAAGGCUUUCUAUGACCCAGACUUUGGUACUGUACACCCCUUUUUGAAAACCUGCUUUCACAUCUGUGCUGACAAGCUGAAAGCAACAGUUUGUGUUAAAGCCAAUAAAUUAUUAAUGAAGACUUUGUAAAGACAAAGAAAGUUGUGAUCAUAGUUUGUUUUUAUUGUUAAGUUAUAUGAAUUCAAUUGUUUUGGGUUUUUUUUUUUUUUUUUUUUUUUUUUAUAAAGACGCAGGAUUUCCAAUCCAAUGACCAAAUUCAUAGCUUCUUGUAUUGUCUGAGUUCCUCUCAUGUAAAAAAAAAAAAAAAACUUUUAUAAAUGCAGUCAUGUGAUCAAAGCAAUGAAUACAUUUUUUGAAUGAAAUAAAGCGUUGUAUGUUUU